UACAGAGGUGGCAAGCGUUGUUCGGAAUUACUGGGCGUAAAGGGCGCGUAGGCGGCCUUCUAAGUCAGACGUGAAAUCCCUCGGCUUAACCGGGGAACUGCGUCUGAUACUGGAUGGCUUGAGUUCGGGAGAGGGAUGCGGAAUUCCAGGUGUAGCGGUGAAAUGCGUAGAUAUCUGGAGGAACACCGGUGGCGAAGGCGGCAUCCUGGACCGACACUGACACUGAGGAGCGAAAGCCAGGGGAGCAAACGGG
rnacentral:rRNA from 1 species